AAGGCUAUACUUUCAGGGAUCAUUUCUAUAGUUUGUUACUAGAGAAGUUUUUCAAGUUAAAAAGCAACCCCCUUGGAUGGGGAAAGUUGGGUGGAAACAGGU
rnacentral:snoRNA from 1 species